UAUCUUAUUCUAUUUUCUACAGAGAAAUUUUUGCGAGUAAGAAUAAAUUAUACAUCGUUAGAGGUGUGCGGAAUCAUGUCAAGACUUGGCUGAAACAAGUAAAGUUAUACACGCUGAUAGGAAAUACUGAGUAGGUAUUUCAAAUUAAGUGAAGACCAAGAUGGCACAAACAAAAUGAUAUGUAUCAGUGUGUAUGUGUCAGAUGUAUGUGUCAGUACCUUUUGCAGCAACUGUACAAGGUGAUUCAUAAAUGUAUGUCCAUACUUCAGGGGAUGAAUCUACACAUUAAAAUAACUAAAAAAAAAACGUCGUAUGAACAUAUGUCCUAUGUAAGUACUUUUAGUUUUCAAGAUAUGGAUUUCUCAUGUCUUAACAUACGUUAUUGCACUUUUACCUUUCAGCAUCUAGAAAACUGUAACGAACUAGCGAGAAUAGAAUACUAACUACCUGAAAUUUUAUUUGAUUCAUAUCAAUUGAUAUUGCUUCGCACAUGUUGCACUCUGACUGAACAGCUUGCAAGUUGGUUACGAUAUGAACUUUGAAUUUACUCACAAGACACCUAACGAAGUUAACUUCGACAAACAUGUUAUCUAUUUUGCUUUUAUAAUAAACAACAGAUUUAUUGGAUGACAAACUUGAUAUUUGUUAGAUUCCCAAUGAAUAGAUUUGAUACUUGCUAGAGCGAUAGAUACUAAGUAUAACAGUUAGGAUAAAAGAUGAUGGACCAAACUAUACUGUAGACUUUGUAGAGUGACGAAUCUUAGGAAGGUUUUUUUCAAGAUUCACGAAAAUUCGAAGAAUAGGCAAUGCUGUUGGGAGUAACACGUGGAUUGGAGAAUUUGCAAGUUACUCGAACUUAGAGAGGUGGCGGAAAAGGACGAUAAUUGGUUACAGGAAAGUUGGUGAAAAUGAACUCUGUCUACUGGUCAUCCUCUGUUAGCGAUUGACUUGGGUCGACGUGCGUGACGUCUGUGUAAUCAGUUAACGGUUCACAAGCAAUGAAGUAAUAAAGUACGUGGGUCUCGAGAACAUAUUGAUUUGCAGAAUAUAUUUUCUAUAAAUUUUUCGCUAUCUUGCAGCUGCAGAAGACAAACCCAUUGGAUUUAUAAUCCUAUUAUUGCGCAGCAACAGCACACUUGAGACGAAAAUGACUCGAUUUGAAAAAGAAUGUUUUCCAGAAGAAGGGAAAGGCUAUUUUUCUACAUAAUUAAAUCAAAUUCAUGAAAAAGAAGAAUAAUGCUUAUAAAACAGGUUUAAAUGUAUUUUUCCUUCAUUUUUAGUUCCUAACCCUGGAAAACUACCAAACUGCUACUAACCAUCAUUGUAGACAGAACGUAACUCAUAAUGAGACGCAUUUAUAGAAUAUCGUCAUCUUUACGAAUACAGUCAUUUUUUCAUUAUUUAUA